rnacentral:miRNA from 1 species
GGGACUAAAGGUAUGUACCAUCACCACCUGGCCAGAGUGAAUUUGAGGCCAUCUGGGCUAGAUGAGACUGCUUCACAGGGUAAGAAAAGAGUAAAGUGCCAGGCAAUGGUGGCACACACCUUUAAUCCCAG